rnacentral:miRNA from 1 species
GCGGGAUGGGCUGGGCCGGG